UUGCCAGCUUUUUGUUCUAAAAUGGCGCCUUUAGGAAAUGUGAGUCAGAUAUAGGAGGGAAGUGGGCAAACACUGUUGACAACUCAAGUGAAACCAAAGCAGAAUGAGAGGUGGACUUUUCAUUAAUUUACACGUCCGUCUUCUAAUGUAGCUAGUGCGAAAUUUACCGAAACUGUCCAGGAAAGGCAUAGACAGGUAAAUUAGGUAACGAGCUGGCUACCAAGAUGCACAUAAAUAGUGGCUGAAUGCAACUUGACCCCUUACUCCUACUUAUUAUGGUUUCGAUGCCGUUGUUGCUGGAGUGAUUGAUCAGUAAUUGCAUGGAGGGCUCAGUGCAGUUUGAGGAGCUGGUGAAGGUGAAAAGCGUGCAGCAUCCAACAACACCACAUGAAAGAGUUCCUGGAGUCACUGGCUAGUAAAGUGCCUGAGGCAUUGCAGGAGUUCAGGCAGCAGGAUGACAACAGCAGUACCUCUCAACAAGAGACGAAUCUCAUCUACGUGGACAGCAAAGAAGUGGCUGGCUCACUCUUCCAGCUUACCUGUCCAAGUAGGUCCCGGUGCAGGUGCAUUGUCUGAGCAACAACAGCAAGUGCCCGGUGAUAACCCAGCCCCAAAUCCCAUCACAAAUUGUUACAGUUGAGCAUCAGGCCACAGAACAGCCCACCCGAGUGCAGGUAGAAUAACAUUUAGUGUCUUCUUGCAGUCCAUGCUAAACGCAUGUAGAUCUGAUGUCAGAUAUGCAUGCUUUUCUUUGUGUUUGUAAAAAAAACAAAAAAACGAGACUACAGGCCUUAAUAAAACUGAACAUCUGAUGGUUAUCGGGUAGUGUUGAUUCCUCAUGGCGAAUGGACAGGAGGAAGUAGUGUAAACUUUAACCAGCAGCCUCUUCCCCACACAGUUAUUGAAUGGGAGUAUUCACAUUCCAAUCACAGUCACCGGCGCGACAUAUGUGUGUCCGAGUGGCACACUGCACAUUUGCUACCGAGCAGAUGCCACAGGUGAUUGGAGGAUGGGAAUCUAUACAUCAGUCAGUCACUUAAGACAGAUGAUUUUUACAAUCAAGUUACAUGGAAAAGCUGAUUAUUCGUCAUGUUUGUGGUGCAGUGUUGUGAUUAGCGGUGCAUUUGAUUGACAGGAUCAGCAGACACAGAGCGUGUCUGACAGCCCCACAUUGCCUGUUUCCUUAAAAUCAGAGAUGGGGUUUAUCAUGUGGCGACUAUGAGCAGAAGAAAAACUGUGAGAUGGAGAAAGAACAGAGAAACAGACUGGCUCCAGUUGGUAGCAUGGCAGUAUUUUUUUUCUCUAUGCAUGAUUUUAUUAAAAUUUAAAGUUAUUUUAAAAGUUAAUUUUUAAAAAUGGAAAGUGCUGCAUGAUUUACACUGAUAAUUUUCUAUGUGGGGUACUCUUGUGUAUUUGCACUGUAUGUAGUCUUGUGUACUGUUAUGUGCUUUUGCACCAUGGUCUUGGAGAACCAACAUUUUGUUCCAAUGUAUGCAAGCUAAAUAGAGGAAUGACUAUACAAACCCAUUUGACUUGACUUGGGACACUCUGCGGUCUGUGACAUGUGGCCAGUUGGUCUGAGAUUUAAAAAUUUAAGUUAUAGGGGUGGAAACCACAACCAUCCAUUAUCAAACUUAUUAUAAUUAUCAUUGAGUUGUUAGUUGGUUUGACUGGGCACUUGAAGUAAAUGGGUUUAAUACAAACUUCAAUAAGUCAAAAACACUCUGUCUAGAAAUAACGUAACUUUGAGUGUAAAAUAUUUUGAUAAAAAAUGUAAUAUGUAGUUACACUACAGUUAGCAGUUCACAGGUUUUUAUAUGGUGAUUGGAGUAAAAAUGUAAUAUUGUAGAUUUGAAUUGUGUUCAUUGUGUGUGUUUAUAGGACGGAAGCCGCUACGGUUUCAGGAAAACCUGUUAUGCACGUCCAUAGCAGAGCUGAGUUUAAGCUUAUCUCUGAUGAUACAGGAGGCUAAGGGCUUUGAGGGCAAAACCUUAGAAGCUGACAUGCUCUCCUAUAUUUUCCUAUGUAUACAAAAGGUACAUGCAAUAACCCUUACUAUAUGCUAUGUUCCUUACUUAUAAUAUCUUCUUUCUGACCUUCUGUUUCUUUUCUAUUUCUUUCUGCAGUAUAUGCUUGAUAACGAUAGAGUUGAUUAUAUAUUCAGUGAUCAUUAUUAUCAGCGGUUCCAACAAUCAUUGCAUAAGGUACUACACUCACGGAAGCCCGGUGUCUCUCCGUUAGGUAGCAAAACGCAGUAAUUUAUACACAACUGAAGUUGUAUUUAGUAUCUGUUUAUAUUAUUGAAGGGUCAUGUAUUGAUAGAUGGUUUAAGUUAAUGUUUUUAAUGUUUGUCAUUCCUAGCCAUUUGACUGAAGAAAUGUGGGAAUGCAAACAACUGGGAGCCCAUUCACCUUACACACUCCUUACCACUGUAAUGUUUUUCAACACAAAGUAAGACAUACUUGCACACCAUAGGGAUGCACAAUUAAUCAUAUUUUAAACCUGAUCAUGAUAUUUGGCUUCCUCAGAUAAAAAAAACUAUUGGUAGAUUUUCUUUAAUAUGGCUCAUUGUCUAAUUGUUAGAUAUCAUCUUUCAUUGACCCCAUUUUAAAUCACAAGCUCAAAACAAAUCAAGACCUUCCAAA